rnacentral:lncRNA from 1 species
GCCAGCCCAGCGCCGCGCCAGAGAGCGCAGCGGCGGCGGCGGGAAAGGCUGCGGACCCGCGGCGCGCACUCGACGACGCGGCGCCGGCCUCGACGCCCUCGGCGCGUUCCGGGAGCAGGUACUUUGUGAGAAAGAGAGACCUUGUAUUAUGGACCUGAGUAUCACUGCCAGACAGAUGGUUCUUCAUUUGAGCCAGUCCUUUCACAUUUCUCCAUAA